CGGCUCAGUAACACGUGGAUAACCUACCCUUGAGACGGGGAUAAACCCGGGAAACUGGGUAUAAUACCCGAUAGAUCUCGACUGCUGGAAUGCAUCGAGCUUGAAAGCUCCGGCGCUCAAGGAUGGGUCUGCGGCCUAUCAGGUAGUAGUGGGUGUAGCGUACCUACUAGCCUACGACGGGUACGGGUUGUGAGAGCAAGAGCCCGGAGAUGGAUUCUGAGACACGAAUCCAGGCCCUACGGGGUGCAGCAGGCGCGAGAACUUUACAAUACUGGAAACAGCGAUAAGGGGACCUCGAGUGCCAGGUUACAAAUCUGGCUGUCGUGAUGCCUAAAAAGCAUUGCAUAGCAAGGGCCGGGCAAGACCGGUGCCAGCCGCCGCGGUAACACCGGCGGCUCGAGUGGUAACCGUUAUUAUUGGGUCUAAAGGGUCUGUAGCCGGCCGGAUAAGUCUCUUGGGAAAUCUGGCAGCUUAACUGUCAGGCUUUCAGGAGAUACUGUCUGGCUCGAGGCCGGGAGAGGUGAGAGGUACUUCAGGGGUAGGGGUGAAAUCUUGUAAUCCUUGAAGGACCACCAGUGGCGAAGGCGUCUCACCAGAACGGACCUGAC
rnacentral:rRNA from 1 species